CAGCAGCAGCAGCAGCAGCUGCUGCUGCUGCUGCUGCUGCUGCUGCUGCAGCUGCUGCAGCUGUAGCUGCUGCAGCUGCUGCAGCUGUAGCUGCUGCAGCUGCUGCAGCUGUAGCUGCUGCUGCUGUAGUUGAUGCUGCAGCUCCUGCUACUGCAGCUGCUGCAGCUCCUGCUGCAGCUGCUGCUGCUCCACCAGCUGCUGUCGCUGCUGCAGCGGCUGCUGCUGCAGCAGCAGCAGCAGCUGCACCAGCGGGUUAGUGUGGUUUAGGGGUUUU
rnacentral:ncRNA from 1 species